rnacentral:rRNA from 1 species
CUGCAACUCGACCACACGAAGCUGGAAUCGCUAGUAAUCGCGAAUCAGCAUGUCGCGGUGAAUACGUUCCCGGGUCUUGUACACGCCGCCCGUCACACCAUGGGAGUCAGCAACGCCCGAAGUCAGUGACCUAACCGAGAGGAAGGAGCUGCCGAAGGCGGGGCAGGUAACUGGGGUGAAGUCGUAACAAGGUAUC